rnacentral:tmRNA from 1 species
GGGGAUGACAGGCUUCGACGGAAGAGGCUGGUCCCGGACUGCGAGCCGAGAGGCGCCGAUCUCGUAAAACCAGCGCAAACAAUUAAGUGCCAACCGCACUGACUAUGCUGCUCUUCCCCUGGCUGCGUAAGCAACUAGGAUAGAUCAGUAAUGACCCCUUAACGGGUCACGCCCGCCCUCUCCAAGCUCUGGCUGGUGAGGGGCCGGGUGACACAAGGCCGGAGUGCCGUGCGGGAUACCGUUAAACGCAUGAAAGAUGAGCUUUCGGGCUCUAACGGUUAGGCUGCUAAGCCCCUUGGUUGGUUGUGGGUCCAGCGGCGACAAGAAACAUCCAACUACGCUCGUAGACGUUCGGUGACUUAAUCUUGCGGACGCGGGUUCGAUUCCCGCCAUCUCCACAG